UGUCGGUUAAAUGAGAUUAUCUAUGUAAAAGAUUUAGACUAGCAUCUGGCACUUCAUACUUCCUAAAAACUACUCAAUCUUGUUAUAAUUGUGGUCAUUAUUAUCAUAGAAAACAUGCAAAUAUCACCCUUUGCUUUUGUGGAAAAGAAGAAAAGCUAAUUUCUCUGACCUUUUCUCCUCCUUUCCAAUUCUGUGCCUGUUGAAAACAGAUUUUCUCAGCUUUCUGUCUAAUGCCAGCAUGGCUGCGGUAAAACUCAGAGCACCAACUCACUACCUCACAUCUGAAUUUGUUGCUAGCAUUGGGGACACUUAAGUUCUUUCCAAGCUGCAGUGAAAAGUGCAAAAGAGAGAGAGAGUGUGUGUGUGUGUGUGUGUGUGUGUGUGUGU
rnacentral:lncRNA from 1 species